GUAGGCCAAAAACAUCUGGGGACCCCAGGUUGAGAACCACUGAGCUACACCUAAGCCAACAACGUCUCAGCUGCAUGCUCAGUGUGCAUCAGCUGCUUUAUUCAGGCAGGCUUUUUAAAGAAGAAGGUUUUUAAGAUCAAGUCAAGGGGUGCUGUGAUUUUUAACUUUGAAUAUGUUUUUAUGGAUUUUAACUGAUUAUCAAUACCAUUGAUAUUUAAUUCUUUUAAAAUGUUAUAUAUAUAUAUAUGUGUGUGUGUGUGUGGAUUUAAAAUUGUACUGAAAUGCUUUUAAUGUAAGCUGCUUUUAGUCCCCUUGUGGAGAGGAAAAAAUGAGGUAUAAACAAACAUCAUCAUCAUCAUCAUGGCAGGUGAAAAUUAUCUCCAGUCCCACAGAGCCACAGUUAUUCUCUGUAGACAAUUCUAUACCAUAUGGAGCAAGAUUUCCCACAAUAUUUUCCAGAUUGGAAAAGCAAACGAUAGGUAAGCCAAAAGUCCUAGGUAACUUAAGUCAGUUUCAAACUGGUAUUGAAGAAAGUGGUUUCACUUUGUAGGUGAUUAUAUAAGAAAUCCCAGUGAUUACACAAACCACAGAACAAUGAUGCACAUUAAAGGCUUUCAUUUGUAGGAGUUUGCUGUUUGGCCAACCUGUUUGACCAUUGUAGAUGGGACCCUACAGAAUUCUAUCCUCCAUGUUGCCACUGCUUCCCACCCUCAAAUGCACUGUCUGAGGUAGCCACCUUAUUUUGCCAAAAUGGUAGUGGCACGGAUGGUGAAGUAAUGUUUGAAAUGCCAGAAGAAUGGUUGCUCCCUACUGGAGCUGAUUCUCUGGGAAGAAGUUUCCUUCCCCAUUGCAAGUGGGUGGAUUAAAUAUAAUUCUAAGUGGCAUGAAUAUUAGCACUUCUAUUUUUUUUUUUGAAAACUUAAGUCAAAUUAAAAAGAAAGUUUUUUAAAAACACUUCAAAAAGAACAAUGCUGCUCAUAAUUUGCUCUUAAUGUUUUUCAGUAGACAGCUGGAACAAAGCCAACUUUAUGAAUUGUUGUACUCUACACAGAAGGAUUUGCCUGAAGUGUUCCCUUUCUAUUCUGUAGAAUGCAGACAUGAAAUCCGCACAGCUUCAUUUACAGCUGCUUGAUUUACAUCUUGAUUCACAUUGACAAUAUCCUUGGAGCAGUGAGAGUGACAAUAUGUGCUAUAGAUCCUUGCCUCUCUUGGUUUAUCAAACUUGCCAGUGGGGGAUUAGCUGAGUGAUUCACAAGGAUUAUACAUGCCUUAUUGGAUCAGGGAAAUUGCCAUAUAACCUAAAACAGGCAACAGUGAGACCAGUUCUGAAGAAGGCUAAUCUCCCCUUUUGGGGCAAGGUUCUAGAGCGAGUGGUGGCUUCUCAGCUCCAGGGAUUCUUGGAUGAAACCGAUUAUCUUGAUCCAUCGCAAUAUGGUUUCAGGCCUGGUCACGUAAUCUCCCUGGAUUUGUUCAUUGGUUCCUUUCUUUUCUUGAGUUGGAAUAAGACUAGCAUGAUCUACAACCCGGAAAACUCCAAGCAACAAGAGGCUUUGUUCCUGCAGCUCAGGACAGAUGGAUUCCAUCCCACAUAUUCUUCUGCACUGCCCACUCUACCAGGAACUAAGAUCAAGCUUGCUACUGCAAGUUAUAGAUUCUAUGAAACACUAAAGAGCCAGACAAGGUGAGCAGAAAUUGAAACAAUGGGGAUCAACUGAAGGAAAAACUGAAACUCAUCCAUCUGUCUUUACAGAUCGAAGGUUUUAAGUGUUUAGUGGUAAAGCAAGAAUGAUAGUUAUGUUUCCUGUAGGUCAUAUGUGGACUGGGGAGAGAGCUCUGCAGUCUCUGACUCUCUUGGCUUCACACCUGAUUUUAAGAAAAAGUUUAACCCUCAGUGACCAUUCAAACUUGAAGAGGCAAAGUUGUCUGCCUAUUUGGG